rnacentral:rRNA from 1 species
GAGUUUGAUCCUGGCUCAGGACGAACGCUGGCGGCGUGCCUAACACAUGCAAGUCGAACGGAGAUAUUCGCUGAUGAAGUACUUCGGUAAUGAUUCUUGAAUAUCUUAGUGGCGGACGGGUGAGUAACGCGUGAGCAACCUGCCUUUCAGAGGGGGAUAACGUUCGGAAACGAACGCUAAUACCGCAUGACAUUGUUGAGUCGCAUGACAUGACAAUCAAAGGAGCAAUCCGCUGAAAGAUGGGCUCGCGUCCGAUUAGGUAGUUGGAGGGGCACCGGCCCACCAAGCCGACGAUCGGUAGCCGGGCUGAGAGGCUGAACGGCCACAUUGGGAGUGAGACACGGCCCAGACUCCUACGGGAGGCAGCAGUGAGGGAUAUUGGUCAAUGGGGGAAACCCUGAACCAGCAACGCCGCGUGAGGGAAGACGGUUUUCGGAUUGUAAACCUC